AAGGAUAUUGUCAGGAGGAAGGGAUUGAUUAUGAAGAGACUUUCGCUCCUGUAGCUAGGCUGGAAUCUGUAAGAAUAUUUCUUGCUUAUGCUGCCCACAAAAACUUUGAAGUUUUCCAAAUGGACGUCAAGUGUGCAUUUCUUAAUGGAGAACUCGAAGAAACAGUGUAUGUGGAGCAACCUCCUGGGUUCGUGAACGAAAAAUAUCCAAAUCNCUGUACGUGGAGCAACCUCCUGGUUUCGUGAACGAAAAAUAUCCAAAUCAUUGCUACAUUCUGGAUAAAGCGGUAUACGGAUUGAAACAAGCUCCGAGAGCCUGGUAUGAAACACUUACUAAAUUCUUAAAGAUAUCUGAAUUCAAACAAGGUUCGGUUGACCCACCCUUCUUUCGCAAAAAGGAAGGUAACCACCUUAUGAUCGUUCAAAUUUACGUCGAUGAUAUCAUCUUUGGCUCAACGAAUCCCAGCCUAACAGCUGAAUUCAGAAAGCUGAUGGAGACUAAAUUUGAAAUGAGCUCAAUGGGUCCUAUUAACUUUUUCCUUGGUUUAAAUAUUAGACAGGGACCCGAAGGCAUCUUUAUCAAUCAGGAAGCUUACACGAAGACUCUCCUAGCAAAGUUUGGUAUGAUGGGAGACUCCAAAGUCAAAGUCCCAAUGGCAUUCGGCACCAAGCUUACCCCAUCUCUAGACAAACCGGCUGUCGACAUCACGCUCUAUCGUCAAAUGAUAGGCUCACUGAUGUAUCUAACUGCUAGCAGGCCUGAUAUCA
rnacentral:lncRNA from 1 species